rnacentral:rRNA from 1 species
AGACGGAGGGUCCUAGCGUUGUUCGGAAUGACUGGGCGUAAAGGGUACGUAGGCGGUUUGGUCAGUUAGAUGUGAAAGCCCAGGGCUCAACCUUGGAACUGCAUUUAAUACUGCCAAACUUGAGAUCGGAAGAGGAAAGCGGAAUUUCUAGUGUAGAGGUGAAAUUCGUAGAUAUUAGAAGGAACAUCAGAGGCGAAGGCGGCUUUCUGGUCCGAUGCUGACGCUGAGGUACGAAAGCGUGGGGAGCAAACAGGAUUAGAAACCCGUGUAGUCC